CUUAAAGGAAUUGACGGGGCCCGCACAAGCAGUGGAGCAUGUGGUUAAUUCGAAGCAACGCGAAGAACCUUACCAGGUCUUGACAUCCCGAUGCUAUUUCUAGAGAUAGAAAGUUACUUCGGUACAUCGGCGACAGGUGGUGCAUGGUUGUCGUCAGCUCGUGUCGUGAGAUGUUGGGUUAAGUCCCGCAACGAGCGCAACCCCUAUCUUUAGUUGCCAUCAUUGAGUUGGGCACUCUAAAGAGACUGCCGGUGUCAAACCGGAGGAAGGUGGGGAUGACGUCAAGUCCUCAUGGCCUUUAUGACCAGGGCUACACACGUACUACAAUGGCCGGUACAAAGGGCAGCGACACAGCGAUGUGAAGCGAAUCCCGAAAAGCCGGUCUCAGUCCGGAUUGGAGUCUGCAACUCGACUCCAUGAAGUUGGAAUCGCUAGUAAUCGCGGAUCAGCACGCCGCGGUGAAUACGUUCCCGGGCCUU
rnacentral:rRNA from 1 species